rnacentral:misc_RNA from 1 species
GAUGAAGAACGUAGCGAAAUGCGAUAAGUAAUGUGAAUUGCAGAAUUCAGUGAAUCAUCGAAUCUUUGAACGCACAUUGCGCCCCCUGGCAUUCCGGGGGGCAUGCCUGUUCGAGCGUCAUUACAACCCUCAAGCUCUGCUUGGUAUUGGGCUCUGCUGGGACCGGCAGGCCUUAAAAUCAGUGGCGGCGCCACUCGGCUUCAAGCGUAGUAAUUCUUCUCGCUUCGGAGACCCGGGUGCGUGCUAGCCAGCAACCCCCAACUUUCUUAGGUUGACCUCGGAUCAGGUAGGGAUACCCGCUGAACUUAAGCAUAUCAAUAAGCGGAGA